rnacentral:rRNA from 1 species
CGACCUAAUCGUUGGACUGCAGGAGAUACUGUUGGGCUAGGAGGCGAGAGAGGCCGACGGUAUUCUCGGGGUAGGGGUGAAAUCCUAUAAUCCCGGGAGGACCACCAGUGGCGAAGGCUGUCGGCUAGAACGCGCUCGACGGUGAGGGACGAAAGCUGGGGGAGCGAACCGGAUUAGAUACCCGGGUAGUCCCAGCUGUAAACGAUGCGGGCUAGGUGUUGGGGUGGCUACGAGCCACUUCAGUGCCGCAGGGAAGCCAUUAAGCCCGCCGCCUGGGGAGUACGGCCGCAAGGCUGAAACUUAAAGGAAUUGGCGGGGGAGCACCACAAGGCGUGAAGCUUGCGGUUUAAUUGGAGUCAACGCCGGGAACCUUACCGGGGGCGACAGCAGAAUGAAGGCCAGAUUGAAGGUCUUGCCGGACAAGCUGAGAGGAGGUGCAUGGCCGUCGCCAGUUCGUGCCGUGAGGUGUCCUGUUAAGUCAGGCAACGAUCGAGACCCGCGCCCUAAGUUGCAACCUGGUACGGCUUACCGUUCAGGGCACACUAAGGGGACCGCCGCCGACAAGGCGGAGGAAGGAGCGGGCCACGGCAGGUCAGUAUGCCCCGAAUCCCCCGGGCCACACGCGAGCUGCAAUGGCAGGGACAAUGGGUUCCGACCUUGAAAAAGGGAGGCAAUCUCUAAACCCUGCCUCAGUUGGGAUCGAGGGCUGCAACCCGCCCUCGUGAACAUGGA